UUUAAAUUAAGCAUUUCUAAGAGUUUCUUAUAAGUAUUUCAUGUGUAUUUGUAAGUUUUAUUUAAAAAAUAUUAGCGGACAUUUUGAUUCCGCUCGGCCGCGUUAACUUCCGGUUCGGCCGCGAUAACUUCCGGUUUCGGUUUCAUGGUAAUCAGAGCAGGCGAAAUCCAGCAUGGUACGGUCAGCAAUCUGUCGCCAUUCUCACUAAAGCACUGUCAAGGCAAUGCCUUUUCACCAUCUGGAGAAGAAAUUAAAAUGCAAAAACGUCCUUUGUGGUCCUGGUCUUCUUCAGUGGUUUAUCUACGUGUUCAUUUGGCAACAUAACAGUGAAAAGGCAGCAUUCAGAGCUUCAUCGUGGUCAAAAGGGCAGCUAGCAACAGAUCUGCUACAAAUACUUCAGGUCUUUCAGUCUCAUCUGCAAGCAGUGCCGCUCGUGCUCGAGCCAAAGCAGAAGCAGCUAGGGUAAGAGCCUCAUAUGCAAGCAAGGAAGCACAGUUAAAAGUGGAAAAAGUGAAAAUCGACACAGAGCUACAGGUGCUAGAAUUACAAAGAGAAGCAGAUGCUGCAGUAGCUGAGGCAGAGGUGCUAGAAGAAGCAGAGGCAAUACGAGAUGGGCAUGAGAGCCGAAGAUCAGAAUCAGAUAGAAUUAAAAGAGAAAGAACAUGUGAAUAUGUGAAAUCUCAAAUGAAUGUGAAUAAACAUAAUGGCUCAGCUUCAGCCACCUGCGACCAAAGUGUUGAAACACAGGGCACAUUCAUCACAUGGAAUCCGACUGAAAAUGACGUUUCAGAUGCAGAACCUGCACCUGUUAACACUAGGCCAAAGCUCCACAACCAACACACAUCCGUGACUAUCCAAACCACAUCUUCCUCUCCUAAAUGUGAGACUAAACCAAAAAGUAAACAAACAAAGAAUUCACUCAACCCAUUCUCCAGCCCUUUCGUGCCUCUCUACAACUCACCUGCAAGCGCGUCACACCAAGCAGAGCCACUUGCACAAUAUAUGGCACGUCGUGACCUCAUCACUUCAGGUCUAUACCAAUAUGAUGACAAACCAGAGAAUUUUAGAGCGUGGCUCUCCUCAUUUACCGGGGCUACAGCAGACGUUCACCUCACGCCAACACAAGAGCUCGAUUUGAUGACAAAAUGGUUAGGAAAGGAGUCAAGCAGUCAAAUUAACCGCAUUCGCUCUGUGUAUGUCAAUAACCCUGCAGUAGCUUUACAGAAAGCAUGGGACAGACUCCAUGAGUGUUAUGCGGCUCCUGAAAUCAUCGAAAAAUCGCUCUUCCAGAGAUUGGAAAGUUUUCCUAAAAUGACAGCAAAGGAUAAUGUGAAACUGAGGGAACUUGGGGAUCUGUUACAGGAGAUUCAAGGAGCAAAAGAGGAUGGGUAUCUGCCUGGUCUUCUCUAUCUUGACACGUCACGCGGAAUCAGGCCAAUUGUGGACAAACUCCCAUAUGGAAUUCAGGAGAAGUGGAUGUCACUAGGUUCACAAUAUAAAGAGGAUCAUCAUGACUGCUUUCCACCUUUCAGUUACUUUUGCAAGUUCAUAUGCAAAGAAGCUAAGAGACGUAACGAUCCAAGCUUUAACCAACAGUACAGCCAAAUGCAAUUAAAAUUAGAAAGACCCAACGUGAGAAACUUUAGCUCCGCCAAACCCAUCUCCGUAAAUAAAAC
ensembl:lncRNA